rnacentral:rRNA from 1 species
GGGUCAGUAGGUUGGUCGUGCCACCGGUACGUACUGGUCUCACUGAUUCCUCCUUCCUGAAGAACUGUAAUGCCAUUAAUUUGGUGUUGCGGGGAAACAGGACUGUUACUUUGAAAAAAUUAGAGCGUUUAAAGCAAGCUAACGCUUGAAUACAUUAGCAUGGAAUAAUGAAAUAGGGCGAUCGAUCCUAUUUUGUUGGUUUCUAGGAUUGACGUA